rnacentral:rRNA from 1 species
ACUAAGCGUACACGGUGGAUGCCCUGGCAGUCAGAGGCGAUGAAGGACGUGCUAAUCUGCGAUAAGCGUCGGUGAGGUGAUAUGAACCGUUAUAACCGGCGAUUUCCGAAUGGGGAAACCCAGUGUGUUUCGACACACUAUCAUUAACUGAAUCCAUAGGUUAAUGAGGCGAACCGGGGGAACUGAAACAUCUAAGUACCCCGAGGAAAAGAAAUCAACCGAGAUUCCCCCAGUAGCGGCGAGCGAACGGGGAGGAGCCCAGAGCCUGAAUCAGUGUGUGUGUUAGUGGAAGCGUCUGGAAAGGCACGCGAUACAGGGUGACAGCCCCGUACACAAAAAUGCACAUAUUGUGAGCUCGAUGAGUAGGGCGGGACACGUGGUAUCCUGUCUGAAUAUGGGGGGACCAUCCUCCAAGGCUAAAUACUCCUGACUGACCGAUAGUGAACCAGUACCGUGAGGGAAAGGCGAAAAGAACCCCGGCGAGGGGAGUGAAAAAGAACCUGAAACCGUGUACGUACAAGCAGUGGGAGCCUCUUUUAUGGGGUGACUGCGUACCUUUUGUAUAAUGGGUCAGCGACUUAUAUUCUGUAGCAAGGUUAACCGAAUAGGGGAGCCGAAGGGAAACCGAGUCUUAACUGGGCGUUAAGUUGCAGGGUAUAGACCCGAAACCCGGUGAUCUAGCCAUGGGCAGGUUGAAGGUUGGGUAACACUAACUGGAGGACCGAACCGACUAAUGUUGAAAAAUUAGCGGAUGACUUGUGGCUGGGGGUGAAAGGCCAAUCAAACCGGGAGAUAGCUGGUUCUCCCCGAAAGCUAUUUAGGUAGCGCCUCGUGAAUUCAUCUCCGGGGGUAGAGCACUGUUUCGGCAAGGGGGUCAUCCCGACUUACCAACCCGAUGCAAACUGCGAAUACCGGAGAAUGUUAUCACGGGAGACACACGGCGGGUGCUAACGUCCGUCGUGAAGAGGGAAACAACCCAGACCGCCAGCUAAGGUCCCAAAGUCAUGGUUAAGUGGGAAACGAUGUGGGAAGGCCCAGACAGCCAGGAUGUUGGCUUAGAAGCAGCCAUCAUUUAAAGAAAGCGUAAUAGCUCACUGGUCGAGUCGGCCUGCGCGGAAGAUGUAACGGGGCUAAACCAUGCACCGAAGCUGCGGCAGCGGCACUAUGUGUUGUUGGGUAGGGGAGCGUUCUGUAAGCCUGUGAAGGUGGCCUGUGAGGGUUGCUGGAGGUAUCAGAAGUGCGAAUGCUGACAUAAGUAACGAUAAAGCGGGUGAAAAGCCCGCUCGCCGGAAGACCAAGGGUUCCUGUCCAACGUUAAUCGGGGCAGGGUGAGUCGACCCCUAAGGCGAGGCCGAAAGGCGUAGUCGAUGGGAAACAGGUUAAUAUUCCUGUACUUGGUGUUACUGCGAAGGGGGGACGGAGAAGGCUAUGUUGGCCGGGCGACGGUUGUCCCGGUUUAAGCGUGUAGGCUGGUUUUCCAGGCAAAUCCGGAAAACCAAGGCUGAGGCGUGAUGACGAGGCACUACGGUGCUGAAGUGACAAAUGCCCUGCUUCCAGGAAAAGCCUCUAAGCAUCAGGUAACAUCAAAUCGUACCCCAAACCGACACAGGUGGUCAGGUAGAGAAUACCAAGGCGCUUGAGAGAACUCGGGUGAAGGAACUAGGCAAAAUGGUGCCGUAACUUCGGGAGAAGGCACGCUGAUAUGUAGGUGAAGCGACUUGCUCGUGGAGCUGAAAUCAGUCGAAGAUACCAGCUGGCUGCAACUGUUUAUUAAAAACACAGCACUGUGCAAACACGAAAGUGGACGUAUACGGUGUGACGCCUGCCCGGUGCCGGAAGGUUAAUUGAUGGGGUUAGCGGUAACGCGAAGCUCUUGAUCGAAGCCCCGGUAAACGGCGGCCGUAACUAUAACGGUCCUAAGGUAGCGAAAUUCCUUGUCGGGUAAGUUCCGACCUGCACGAAUGGCGUAAUGAUGGCCAGGCUGUCUCCACCCGAGACUCAGUGAAAUUGAACUCGCUGUGAAGAUGCAGUGUACCCGCGGCAAGACGGAAAGACCCCGUGAACCUUUACUAUAGCUUGACACUGAACAUUGAGCCUUGAUGUGUAGGAUAGGUGGGAGGCUUUGAAGUGUGGACGCCAGUCUGCAUGGAGCCGACCUUGAAAUACCACCCUUUAAUGUUUGAUGUUCUAACGUUGGCCCGUAAUCCGGGUUGCGGACAGUGUCUGGUGGGUAGUUUGACUGGGGCGGUCUCCUCCUAAAGAGUAACGGAGGAGCACGAAGGUUGGCUAAUCCUGGUCGGACAUCAGGAGGUUAGUGCAAUGGCAUAAGCCAGCUUGACUGCGAGCGUGACGGCGCGAGCAGGUGCGAAAGCAGGUCAUAGUGAUCCGGUGGUUCUGAAUGGAAGGGCCAUCGCUCAACGGAUAAAAGGUACUCCGGGGAUAACAGGCUGAUACCGCCCAAGAGUUCAUAUCGACGGCGGUGUUUGGCACCUCGAUGUCGGCUCAUCACAUCCUGGGGCUGAAGUAGGUCCCAAGGGUAUGGCUGUUCGCCAUUUAAAGUGGUACGCGAGCUGGGUUUAGAACGUCGUGAGACAGUUCGGUCCCUAUCUGCCGUGGGCGCUGGAGAACUGAGGGGGGCUGCUCCUAGUACGAGAGGACCGGAGUGGACGCAUCACUGGUGUUCGGGUUGUCAUGCCAAUGGCACUGCCCGGUAGCUAAAUGCGGAAGAGAUAAGUGCUGAAAGCAUCUAAGCACGAAACUUGCCCCGAGAUGAGUUCUCCCUGACUCCUUGAGAGUCCUGAAGGAACGUUGAAGACGACGACGUUGAUAGGCCGGGUGUGUAAGCGCAGCGAUGCGUUGAGCUAACCGGUACUAAUGAACCGUGAGGCUUAACC